GCGGCGGCAAGGAUGCGAGGUGCCCCACGCGCUGCGGCGCACGGGGAGAAUCAGGGAAGCCGGUGAGAAUCCGGCACAGGACCCGCUGCGGUGACCUGUCCGUCCUCGGUCACGCGCGACCCGCCGUACGGCGUGCGCGCAGCCACUGGGCUCCGGCCCGGGAAGGCGACCGAGCGGCAUGGCAGGAAGUCCGAAGACCGGCCUCGCGAACCCGGUCGCG
rfam:Mumia flava strain MTSC 201 Contig18, whole genome shotgun sequence.